UCUCAGUGCAGUUGCUAAUCAAAAGAACAUCUGAUUACUAGAGAAGCUGCUGAUGUUAAAUGAAGACAUGACCUGUUGACUGACAGGUGGUGCAGAAGAGCUGAUGACCGGCUGCCAAUUUCAUUAUGUUCCACACACGCUGUGUUCACUGGUAAAGAUGCAUCAGUUCAUUUCAGUCAGAUCAUCAGUACCAGCAGCUAUGUAGAGCUGGGUGUCAUCUGCAAGUGAAAGCAUGAUGACAUAUAUGGUGAGGCAAAACCCGGAAACCCGUCUAGACCUGAACCAGAGUAUUAAGGAUCAGAGUUGAAACAGGAUUCAGAGGAUGAAACUCAAAGAGACCCAGGUGGAAAAAAGUUCCCUCCAACAAAGAGCCCCAGAACAGAGAGAUUGUAACCAGAUGAAGGACGCCUAUAAAAAUGAUUGAGGAGAGUGAGGGGAAGGUGGAACCUGACGCUCUGCAGAGGCUCGUUUCCCUCUGCAGCUGCGUUCUGCUUUGUGAUACACAGCGAGAGGAAGCACUUUAAUAGAUCAUAGUGAGUAGUGGAGGACAGACGUAUGAGCUUCAGAGAUACAAAGGACAGGUAAUGACUGUUUAAACUGUCAGACUCCAGAACAGAGGACAAUUGCAUUCACCGGGCCUUCGUCUGCUGGCAGCAAUUAUAUUCUGUAUCAUUUGUUUUAUCCGGUGGGUGGAAGAAAAGACCCUGACCUCUGUGAGACUCCCUGCUGGAAUAAACCACAGAAAUACG